rnacentral:sRNA from 1 species
CAGAUGAGCAGGCAUCCACAGUGUGAGCUUUCCCACAUCGCCAGGACCAUGUGUCUCAAUCCUGACCUGGAGGGACCACCCCUAG